GUGCGCCGCUGCUGCGUGCCGGAGGGCGCCGCCGCGCCGAGCGCCGCCGCGGGCGGUGCCCAGCGCCGCCGUGCCCUCCCCUUUCCUCUUCUUUGUUUGCAGCCCGCCCGCCCCCAUGUGCCAGUCUUUGGCCGGCCGCCGGCCUUCGCCGGUGAAUGAGUGAGGCGCCGCCGCGGGCGGUUCCUCGUGUGGGUGGCGGGCGCCGAGGGCGGUCGUGUCCUGCGGAACGGGUGCCGCGGGGGUGGGCGAUGUCAAGGGCGGAGGAACGGGCGGCGCGGCUGCCGUUGCCGCGCAUGGAGCAGUAGGGGCGCUGAGAGCGCCAUGGAGGGCCGCUGAUGCGGUGGCCGCCGGUGGUCCGGCCGUGGAGGAGAUGAAACGAGGGUCGCCGACCGAUUGUGGGGUGACAGGCGCCGAGGGCGGCACUUGUGGAAAAGGGAUGGACGCCGAGGGCGCCUCCGCUAUCACCACCGCCGCCGUCGAGGGCGGCCAAGCGAGCGUCGGCGACUUCCCGUAGGAAAAACGAGAAAGAAACAGGCUUCCCUCCCCCGCCGUAGGCCUCGCCGCCUCGGGCCUCGCCCCGGCAGACCAGACACGACGACAGUCCCGCCCCUGCUCCGCGGCGUGCCCGUUUGCGCGGGAAACCCAUUAAAAAAGCGCAGAGGAAUGGAAACCGCCGCCCCGCCCGGCCCGCCAAAGCCGGACCCCGCGCCGCCUCGGCGCCUCCUUCCCCUGCAAGCCUCCCCCCAUUUUCUUCCCCGUAUACAUCCAAACCCCCAACCGCCCGCCCGCGCACUCAAACACCCCAAGCCAAACCCCUCGCGCCGCCAGCGCCGUCACGCCCUCCGCGAUGCCCCACCUCCGCUCACGCGCCAAGGCGGCGGCGGCGGCCGCCGCUGCCUUCCCGCCGUCACCGCCGGCGCCGGCCGGCGUCCCGCAGGGCACCCCCGCGCCGUCCCCGUCCACCUCCCUCCGCCUCGGCCUCGGCCCCGCCUCCCCCGAUGACGGCGGCUUCGACAUCAAGUCCCCGCCCGCCGCGCCGCCCCGGCGCAGCCUGCGCCUCGCGGGCGCCGCCGCCAGCCCGCCGACCCCCGCCGCGCGGGACGGCGGGUCCUCCGGCUCCGGGCCCGGGGCCGGCGGGAGCGUGAAGGGGACGGGGAGGGCCCGCGCCCGCGACUCCGCCUCCUCCCCUGUCGCCGCCUCGCCGAUGUCCGGUAACUUCGGGAGCGACGGCGGCGGCUCCGGCUCCGACGGCGCGGCGCCGUUUCUGAGCCUGCGGUCGGGGUCCCGGAUCGCGAAGCGGCGGGUGGAGGCCGGCGGGGAGGCGGGGCCUGGGCCGGCGGGCGGAGGCCAGGUGCUCGACGAAAUGCCGCGCCGGGCUGCGUGCACGCCGACGAAGCGGCAGAGGACAGUGCUGGUUGGGGGAGUGGAGACGGAGUACGUGGCCGAUUCGGAGAGCGGCUCUGAUGGGGAUUGCGUGAUGCUGAGGCAGAGUGGCGCGAGGGUGCCGGGGGCGCGGGUGAACACGGGUCGAAGUGGGGUGGAACCUAAGAGUGCCCUUGCUAUGAGCAUGGAUGGGAAUGACGAUGGCGUGGGCACGCCGACGAAGCGGCGGAGGAGCGUGCUGGUCGGGGGAGUGGAGACGGAGUACGUGGCCGAUUCGGAGAGCGACUCCGAUGGGGAUUCCGUGAUGCUGGGGCAGAGUGGCGUGAGGAUGCAGGGGGCGCCUGUAAACACUGGUCAAAUUGGGGUGAAACCGAAUGCUGUUGCUAUGAGCAUGGAUGGGACUGAAGAUGGCGCGAGGGAUGGUCCUGCCAAGGCAGGCAAUGGGGAGUCUGGUGGGGUGAUUGAGCAGUUAGUGAAUCCUGCGGGAAGUCCUUCGAGUCCCGAAGAAGAAAUGAUCGCGGAUAUGUAUUUCAAGAAAGAGUUGCGCCAAUACAAGUACAAGCUUAGAAAGGAAGGCAACGCGAAAGAGAAGCUAGUUUUGGGGAGCAACCAUUCUCGUGGUGUGGAUAGUGGAUAUGAACCCGCUUCCCGCAAAUUAAUUACUGAUAGUAAAGGAAAGGGAAAGAUGGUUGUAGAGGAUAGUUUAUCAUCUCUGAGCUCAGGUGAGGAUGAAUCAGGUUCGGAACCAGUGGUUUCUAAACAGAUUCAGAGGAAGUCAGAUUCGGAACCAGUGGAUGCUAAAGAGGUUCAGAUCAACUCAGGAUCAGUUUCUGCUUCUAUGGAGCCACUUCGCAGGCAAGCAGCAAGAGAGCGAGCUAUCAGGCUGGCCCCUAAGUUUGCAUUCUUCAAAGCAGAUAAAGAUGAACCUAGUGAAGAUGAAGAGGAAGAAGAGUUAGAGCCUGCUUCUGACCCUCAGGACUGGCCAGGCCCGUUUGCAACUGCUGCCAGGAUAUAUGAGGAGAGAGAAGCUAAGUUGAGAGCUCGAGAAUCGAAUUCUUCGAAGGUCAACAAGGCUGCUAAUAAGGCCGUCGUUUGGUCUCCUUCAAAGGAGAAGAAAAAUCCAGUACGGGCCACCCCAUCACUUACAAGCUUAUGCAUAAAUACUCUUGCAGAACAUUCUGAAGGCAUUGAAUCACUUGGAGAUAUCCCAGAGGAGCUAAAGCAUAAGCUGUUAAAGAUUCUGUGUCAUUCUAGGAAGAUGAAUGCCCAUCUUCUCAAUGAACUACUGUGUGAUAGUCCUGCAGAACUGCAUCUCAGUGAGUGUUCAUGGCUGAGUGAUGAUGACUUUGAGAAAACUUUUGGGAAAUGCAAGACAGAUAACCUGCGGGAUCUACAGCUUGAUAUAUCUGGAAGGUGCAUGCCUGAUUACAUAUUGCCAACUACCUUAGCUAAGGCUCCUAACUGCAUGUCAUUGUUGACAAAAAUAUCUCUGAAGGGAAAUUAUCGUCUUUCUGACAAGGGUUUAGAAACAAUCAUCUCUGCCGCACCUUCUCUGAGCUCACUAAAUUUGUCCGAGUGUUCUCUUCUCACUUCAUCUGGAAUUGUUGGUCUUGCUGACAAGUUACAUUCGGUACUUAGAGAACUGUAUAUAGAUGAGUGCUUAAACGUGGAUGCUAUGAUGAUUCUUCCCGCACUACAGAAGAUUAAUCAUCUAGAAGCUUUGUCAAUGUCUGGAAUACAAUCUGUGUGUGACAAGUUCGUGAAUGAGCUCCUUCCUGUACAUGGUUCGAAUUUGAAGGAGCUAGCAUUUGCUGGUUGCUCGAAACUUACCUCAUCUUCCAUCAAGACUAUCGGGCAGAAUUGUCCACAAUUAACUUCCUUAGAUCUCCGCAACUUGAAUAGGUUGCGUGACUCAGCAAUGAGGCAUCUUCGCUAUGGUUGUAGGCUAAUAAGGAAACUGAAGCUUCAAAGAAACACAUUCAGUGAUGAAGCACUUUCUCGAUAUUUGGAAGAAUCUGGAGGAUGCCUAACUGAGUUAAUGCUUAACAAUGUUGAGAAGGUAUUUUCUCCAUUGUCUUCUUGAAUGUUAUACUCCAUGACUGGUUGGAGACCUUACUGCUCUUGCAAUUUCUCGCAAGUGCUCUGUUCGGUUGGAGGCUCUGGAUCUUUCCUUCUGCCGUGAACUGACCAAUGAAGCUUUGGGUUUGAUUGUGGACAGCUGCCCAUCGUUGAGGAUUCUGAAACUAUUUGGUUGUACCCAGAUCACGGAUUUGUUCCUUAAGGGUCACUCAAAUACAUUCGUUAAAAUCAUCGGGAUAGAAGGGAGCAUACUGGAGCAAAUGGAUAACCAUUAGUUUGUGCCGAAAAUGACGCUUCAUUCCCCUGACCAUUCUGUUAUCUAGCUUAGGAAUUGAGACAUCAUGGGCCUGGAGGUGGCUGCAGUUUUCAGUGGGGAAUAUUUUGCCAACCGACCCUGCUGAAACCAGUUAGAUGUCCUUAGAAAACUAUCUGGAAAUGCUUGGUUUUUCUUCAUUUAGCUUUAAACAGUGGAAAAACUGCUGCUGCAUUCUGCAUACCAUUGAAAGAAAAUUUUCGUGUUAGAUGGUUAUGGAUGGAUAUUCAGAUCCUUUUCAUUUUA